ACACAUUCGAUUUCAACGUAAUAAAAGUGAUUUCAAUAAAAACCAAUAGUUUGACCAACUUAUUCAUUUGUCAAGCAACAAAAUUGACAAAAUGAAAUAAAUAGCUUACAUAUACGUACUAUAUUGGCAAUAUAUUUGAGUUCUAUGUUUCCUUUAAUCACGUGUUUAGUUUAGUUUUGAGUGAAAUCAACAAUGGAUCAUCAAAAUUUUAAUCCGAAAUAUAAAUCUACCAAAAAUCUUCCAACCGAUCUCAAAAAUGCGGUUGAUUUAUUAAUCGAACAUUAUGCAAGGGCGAAAAUCGUCGAAAAAAGGUGGCGAAUAUGUUGUGUUAACUUGAAUUUAACAAAUUGAUCAAUUCCCUCAAAAUAAUGAUCAAUUAAAUUUAUCUCAAAAUAAAAUCACAACCAACAGAUGGCAGAACCUGUACCAAUCAAUAUAUAAUAAAAAAUUUUUUUUGAAUCAAAA